GCCCCUUUAGCUUAAUGGAUAAAGCGCAGGCCUCCGGAGCCUGAGAUAGGAGUUCGACUCUCCUAAGGGGUA
rnacentral:tRNA from 1 species